rnacentral:snRNA from 1 species
AUACUUACCUGGCAGGGGAGAUACCAUGAUCAUGAAGGUGGUUCACCCAAGGUGAGGCUCAGCCAUUGCACUGAGGCUGUUGCUGACCUUUGCGAAUUCCCCAAAUGUGGGAAUCUUGACUGCAUAAUUUCUGGUAGUGGGGGACUGCGUCCGCGCUCUCCCCUG